UGGGGAAUCUUGCACAAUGGGGGAAACCCUGAUGCAGCGACGCCGCGUGAACGAUGAAGCCCUUCGGGGUGUAAAGUUCUUUCGACAGGAACGAUAAUGACGGUACCUGGAGAAGAAGCUGCGGCUAACUACGUGCCAGCAGCCGCGGUAAUACGUAGGCAGCGAGCGUUGUUCGGAGUUACUGGGCGUAAAGAGUGCGUAGGCGGCGAGCCAAGUUUGGUGUGAAAUCUCCCGGCUUAACCGGGAGGGUGCGCCGAAAACUGGUUGGCUGGAGUAUGGGAGAGGAAAGCGGAAUUCCUGGUGUAGCGGUGAAAUGCGUAGAUAUGAGGAGGAACACCUGCGGUGUAGACAGCUUUCUGGACCAAAACUGACGCUGAGGCACGAAAGCGUGGGUAGCAAACA
rnacentral:rRNA from 1 species